rnacentral:rRNA from 1 species
CAAUAGCGUAUAUUAAAGUUGUUGCAGUUAAAAAGCUCGUAGUUGGAUUUCGGGGCAGCCUGGCUGGUCCGCCGCAAGGCGAGUACUGGUCAGCCGCCCUUCCUCUCGAAAGCCCCGACUGCUCUUUAUUGCAGUGGCCGGGUAGUUCGGGACGUUUACUUUGAAAAAAUUAGAGUGUUCAAGGCAGGCCUACGCCUGAAUACAUUAGCAUGGAAUAAUGGAAGAGGACCUCGGUCCUAUUUUGUUGGUUUCCAGGACCGAAGUAAUGAUUAAGAGGGACAGUUGGGGGCAUUCGUAUUUAAUUGUCAGAGGUGAAAUUCUCGGAUUUAUGAAAGACGAACAACUGCGAAAGCAUUUGCCAAGGAUGUUUUCAUUAA